GAAUGAAAAGAAAGUACAACACUAUAAUAUACAAAUAAAAGAAAGUAUGUUUUUUUUUUUUUAAAUUGUUUUUUGAAUUGGCGAAAGGUAAGGAAAAGAUGGACUAUACUUAUGCACCUGGAAGGAAUCAUUUGUUUGUUCCGGGACCCGUGAACAUCCCGGAUCAAGUACUUCGUGCAAUGAACCGAAACAAUGAAGACUANACUUGAAAGUACAAUGAUGUGAUAGAAUGAAAAGAAAGUACAACACUAUAAUAUACAAAUAAAAGAAAGUUGUUUUUUUUUUUUUAAAUUGUUUUUUGAAUUGGCGAAAGGUAAGGAAAAGAUGGACUAUACUUAUGCACCUGGAAGGAAUCAUUUGUUUGUUCCGGGACCCGUGAACAUCCCGGAUCAAGUACUUCGUGCAAUGAACCGAAACAAUGAAGACUAUCGGUCUCCAGCAGUUCCCGCUUUGACUAAAAUUUUACUUGAAGAUGUGAAGAAGAUUUUCAAAACCACUUCGGGGACCCCUUUUCUCAUCCCAACUACAGGUAUAUUAUUUUCUUUUCUCUAGGGUUAAAUAUCAACAUAUAGUUACUUAUUGCAAUAUUUUGGGUUAGGUACGGGUGCAUGGGAAAGUGCACUUACAAACACCUUGUCUCCUGGAGACCGAAUUGUGUCAUUUGUGAUUGGACAAUUCAGUUUGCUUUGGGUGGAUCAACAGCAACGACUUGGGUUCAAUGUUGAUGUGGUGGAAAGUGAAUGGGGUGCGGGUGCUAACUUGGAAGUUUUAGCAUCAAAACUGGCUGCAGAUACUGCGCAUACUAUUAAGGCUGUCUGCAUUGUUCACAAUGAGACUGCCACCGGAGUUACAAACAACUUGGCUUCCGUAAGGAAAAUACUUGGUAAAAUCAUUUUGCUUUUUUUAGUUUUUUAUCGCAUCAUAUUCAUAUUAUUACAUCCAUCUAAACUCGCCUUCUUAAUUAUUUUGUUUUAAGCGACUUAAUAUGGUAAGUUAAGUGAAAGAGAUGUUCCCUUAUUUUCUAUCUUUUGUUAUUGGUCAACCUCUAACAUUAGUAUGGUAAAAUCCAGGAAAAUAUAAUUUACUUUGUCAGUUCCUGUUUAACAACUUUAUCGAUUUAAUCAUUUAACUGUUUUCUAUAGUAAAUAAACGAUUAUACUUUUUUACUGUCAUUGUUUUUAUUAUUGUCAUUAGGAUGAAAUAAUAUUAUCUCUAGAAACAAGUGGUUUAAAUUUUAAAAGUCCUUUUUCUUGUACUUUGUAACUUUUACUAGCUCCUUGAUAGUUGUUUUUCAAUAAAUUUGGGUGGCUGUUUAAAAUAAAAAUUACAAUUUAUAACAAUCAAUAAUAAUAAUGUUUUUUAAUUUUGAAUGGUAACGUAUAAUGGUUUAUUUACUACAUAUAAAAUAGUUAACUUCUUAAUCAUAAAAUUAUGACAGUAGGUAAUGAUUUUGUAUAUUAUACAUUUAUUUAUACUGAUACCAAAAUUUGGUAACAAGGAAAAAUAGUAAUAAUUUAGAAUAGUCAAAAAAAUAUGUAAUGAUUUAAUCACACUUGAGAAAACAGUCAACUGAUGCAAUCGACAGAUGGUAAUUAAGUACGCUGUGAUUUUUUGUAUACAUUACCGGUAUAAAAAUAAAAACGGGUUUUAAACGGUAAAAAGUGUAUGAUCACCACAGAUUAAUCGAUAAAUGGUUAAUUAAAAUACAUUGUCCUUUUCUUAAUUUUUGUGUAUUAAAAUAGUAUUUUGUUGGGUAAGUAAUAAGUUUUGUAAAUUUGGUAAUAUAUAUGUUAGAUCACUACCAGCACCCGGCCCUGUUUCUAGUUGAUGGGGUGUCAUCAAUAUGCGCUUUGGAUUUCCGCAUGGAUGAAUGGGGUGUAGAUGUGGCUUUAACCGGUUCUCAGAAAGCACUUUCCCUUCCCACCGGUAUGGGAAUCGUGUGUGCGAGCCCUAAAGCCAUCGAGGCCUCUCAAACUGCAAAAUCACUUCGAGUUUUCUUUGACUGGAAAGAUUACUUGAAAUUCUACAAAAUGGGGACUUAUUGGCCCUACACUCCUUCCAUUCAGCUUCUCUAUGGCCUAAAAGCUGCCCUUGAUCUCAUCUUUGAAGAAGGCUUGGAUAAUGUUAUUGCAAGGCACAAUCGUCUUGGCACUGCCACAAGGUAUAUAAAUUAUUUACAUUAAUAUCAACAAACUUAACUUUCUAUUUACUUUAUAGUUUAUACUACUAAUAAAUAAAUAUGUAUGUGUAAUGAAGGCUGGCUGUUGAAGCAUGGGGGUUGAAAAACUGCACCCAAAAGGAGGAAUGGUUCAGUGACACAGUCACAGCUGUGGUUGUUCCUCCAUAUAUUGAUAGCUCUGAAAUUGUUAGAAGGGGAUGGAAAAGAUACAACUUAAGCUUGGGUCUUGGCCUUAACAAAGUAGCUGGAAAAGUCUUCAGAAUAGGACAUCUUGGCCAUGUUAAUGACGUAAGCAUACAUACAUACAUACAUGCAUAUGUCUAUCGAUGUUACAAAAUUAAGAAUUAAUAAAUGAAUGUGUGUGUAGUUGCAACUGCUGGGGUGUCUUGCGGGGGUGGAGAUGGUGCUCAAGGAUGUGGGAUACCCGGUGAAGCUGGGGAGUGGAGUGGCUGCUGCUUGUGCAUAUCUACAGAACAACAUUCCCAUGAUUCCAUCAAGGAUUUGAAUUCUGUCAGUGUCACUGUCAGUGUCAAUUGUGUUUAUGUAUGUAACUACUGCAUGCUACUCCUCUUCUUCAAUGUUGAUUUGCUUCAAAUUAAUACCUUUGUAAAGAACACUUAAAUAUCCUACUUUACUUCAAUCAUCUUCAUUUGUAAAUUCUUGUUUUCUCAUUACAUCCAUGAAUAUGCCUUUGAGUUGAAAAAUUAUGUGUGACCAAAUUCAAAUCUAUAUCAACUACCAUCACCCACACAAUAUUAAAUGUGAGCUUGUUGCUUGUUAGUACAAGAGGUUUUGACAAUUGACCCACUAUGGAAGUGAGACUUGAGAGUUGAGAGCCUACUCAUAUAGAAAAUCGAUGGGCUUAGUUAGAAAAGCUCUUUGCUAUUAUCAAUAUAAAUCUAUUGGUUUGCAAAAUUAGGGCGAUUAGUAAACGAUUAUAGUGGGAUGAUCAUAAUUAAGAACAACAUGACACCUUACUAUUUGGACUGAAAGUGUUGUGAAUCUCAUGAUUAAUUGGGUCUCAUGAUUAACAUGGUCGAUGCAUUACAACCAAAUCCCCUCAAGAAUCCUAGUGCCAACCUAUUUAAGUGGAGUCUUUCCUCACUUUAAGGGGGUUGAGAGGCAUUGAUAUUCAUACUUUAAGGUUUAGCAAUCCAUUCUUUGCACUUUAUUGGUUGGAUGUUGAUUCUUGCAUGUGUCUAUUAGAUGGAAGCUACUUUGGUUCCUAUACCAUACAUGGAGUUCAACACUACAUCAUCCAAAGUACACCUCAAUCUAAGUUUUACUAUAAAACACAAUAUGGUAGUGAUUGUUGCUUAAAUACUCUCAAGGAUUAUUGAUAAGAACACUUUUGAGGACAUAAUCAAAUGUAGCUUAAUGCUUGCAAUUAAUCGAAAGAAAGCCUGAAAUUCGAGACUCAAGAGGAUCUCCAAAAACGAAAAUAAGGUUCUAAAUCUUCUACCACCGAGAGGUCGGCUCCCUCUCUACUUAGUCUAACGCUAGCUGAAAAUUAGGAAGCAAAUACUUCAAAUGAAAGCAUAAUCCAAAAAGAUACAUAUCAAAAUUAACUAAUGAUGUUUUUUUUAGCAAAAUAACUAAUCGCCCCUUUGCAAUUUCUUUCCACGCCUCUGAUAAGCUUUGGCGACCCAGCCCAUUCAUAUCAACCCCCCCUCUUUAUGAAAAAUCACCUGGAAAUCGGUGUUGAGUAUCCUCACGUUCCUCUCAUGUAGUUCAAAUGGAAGCUCGAUAAGCACUUGUUGUCACUAACCACGUUGGUGUCAAGAAAGAAAGGCACGAAUACUAAGGUGCUGUUUGGUUUUUUUUUUUUUUUUUUUUUUUUUUUUUUUUUUUAAAAAAAAACCUCUUCAGAUUUUUUAUUGCUACUGGACGCAACACACACCAAACACUUUUAAUCUCGUAGUUGUUUGUUUUUUAGAAGUCUUCAGAGUAAAAAAUCUCAGUGCGUGUUCUGUUUGGCGCAUCACUUGUAUUGCCUCUUUCAACCACUUUUUUUAUUUUUUAUUUUUUUUUUGCUGAAAUCUUUAUUAUAUGUUGCUGAAAUAUUCUUUUACAUUUUUUUUUCGUUUUUUUAUAUUAAAUAAUAAUAAUUUCUUGAUGAACAUUAUUAUUUUUUUUGCUAAAAUAUCUUUAUUUUUUUGUUGAAAUAUCAUUAUUUUGUUGAAAUAUCAUAAAUUAUUGCUAAAAUGUCAUACAUUAUUAAAUUUUCGGUAUUAACAAAACUAUUUUCGAUUUAUAAAAUCAAUUUAUUUUAAUUUUUAAUAUCUGCAGCAGCAUGUAGAUAUUAAAAAAACAAACACGUUUCUUAUUAUAAUAUGCAGCCGUUUGGUCCACCUCUUCUACUGUAGAGGGUAGCGGAGGUGGUCCACAGACUUCAUGAAUUUUUUAUUAAAAAAACAAACAACACCUAAAUAAGUUUUGGAAGGAUUUUAUUUUAUUUUAUUAAUUGGUCUUUAUGUGGCCAAUAUGCUAAUGCCAGUUUUAUAUGUUUACUAUACUAUGAACGUGUUCGACAAAAAUAGCUGGUAGCGUGUAACGAGUAGCGUUUGAUUUUGGAGAGUUUUGUUCAAAGCUUCUCCAUGUAGCUUUUGAUUUUGGAACAUUUUGUUUAAAGUAAAAACUAAACGCUCCUGUUGUUGCCGAACGAAGUUUGUUUUUUUGUUUAUUUUUUUUAUACAAGUGUUUUCUUAAAAACUAGAAGCCAGAAGCUCCUAAAUGCCACGUGCCGAACACGCCCAAGUAUUUCUUGAAGCCUAUGUUUGAAGGAGAGAUUUUUUUGAUAAAACUAUAAAAGUAAUAUUUGUUUGAGUAGAGUCGCUCUAUAUCAAAAUUGUCUCGUUGAUUGUCUUUUCUUUCCCGUUUGUAGUGUGUUUUUCAUUGUAGUUGCAUCACACCUUCUUGAGCUACGACACAUGGAAAACUGGGUGAAUGGAAGCGAUGGACGACAAUAAACUGAGUGGGCCAGGUUGGAAAACCUGGCGAGUACAUAGGGAUUUCAAUCCCACAAUGUGAUAAUAAUGUAUAUCUCAAACCUGCAAUCCAAC
rnacentral:lncRNA from 1 species